rnacentral:rRNA from 1 species
UACGGGGGGAGCAAGCGUUGUUCGGAUUUACUGGGCGUAAAGGGUGCGUAGGCGGCCAGCGCAAGUCAGUUGUGAAAUCUCCGGGCUUAACUCGGAACGGUCAACUGAUACUGCGCGGCUAGAGUGCGGAAGGGGCAACUGGAAUUCUCGGUGUAGCGGUGAAAUGCGUAGAUAUCGAGAGGAACACCUGCGGCGAAGGCGGGUUGCUGGGCCGACACUGACGCUGAUGCGCGAAAGCCAGGGGAGCGAACGGG